UUUACACAUGCAAGUCGAGCGGCAGCACGACCUUCGGGUUGGUGGCGAGCGGCGAACGGGUGAGUAAUACAUCGGAACGUACCUUUUAGUUGGGGAUAACGCAUCGAAAGAUGUGCUAAUACCGAAUAAUCUCUGAGGAGGAAAGGCGGGGAUCGCAAGACCUGUCGCUGAAAGAGCGGCCGAUGGCUGAUUAGCUAGUUGGGGAGGUAAAUGCUCACCAAGGCGAUGAUCAGUAGCUGUUCUGAGAGGAAGAUCAGCCACACUGGGACUGAGACACGGCCCAGACUCCUACGGGAGGCAGCAGUGGGGAAUUUUGGACAAUGGGGGCAACCCUGAUCCAGCAACGCCGCGUGAAUGAAGAAGGCCUUAGGGUUGUAAAGUUCUUUUGUCGCAGAGCAAAGGGGAGGUGC
rnacentral:rRNA from 1 species